rfam:Gossypium raimondii Chr07_contig_1377, whole genome shotgun sequence.
UGUUAAAACUUUUAUCCAUUUCUACUGUUAAAAACUAGUGUGGUUGACAGUAUAACCAAGCAGUUACACUUGGCGUGCCAUGUGUACCUCAUAUUGACAUACAGGGACUAGUUUUUAACAGUAGAAAUGAAUGAGAUUUAUAAUA